rnacentral:lncRNA from 1 species
GUCAGAUUUUGCCACCAAAUAAUUUACUAAAACUUAUGAGAAAACUUUUGGUCUUCAGAGUUUUUAGAUUUCAGAAUUGUGAAUAAGGGAUUGUGAACUUGUUAUUGAGAUGUAUUAACUCAUUUAUUCUUACGACAAUAUGUGAUCAUGUACUUUUUCUUAUUUUGGUGAGGAAGAAACUGAACGACAGAAAGGUAUAAUGUGUCCAAGGUCACAUGGCUAGUAAGUGACAGGGCCAGCAUUUGAAUCUAUGCUGUCUGACUCUAGAACCUGUGCUUUGAAGAACCCUGAGUACUCCCACCC